rnacentral:ncRNA from 2 species
CAAAAACUUCAGGGUGGGGUGAAAAUCCCAACCGGCGGUAUACCCCGCGAGCUUCGGCACGAACCGGUGAAAUUCCGGUGGCGACAGUAGAGUCUGGAUGGAAGAAGGUUUAU